UACGUAGGGUGCAAGCGUUGUCCGGAAUUAUUGGGCGUAAAGAGCUCGUAGGCGGUUUGUCGCGUCUGCUGUGAAAUCUCCGGGCUUAACUCGGAACGGUCAGAUGAUACUGCUUUGCUCGAGUGCGGAAGGGGCAAUCGGAAUUCUUGGUGUAGCGGUGAAAUGCGUAGAUAUCAAGAGGAACACCUGAGGUGAAGACGGGUUGCUGGGCCGACACUGACGCUGAAGCGCGAAAGCCAGGGGAGCAAACGGG
rnacentral:rRNA from 1 species